rnacentral:rRNA from 1 species
UACGAAGGGGGCUAGCGUUGUUCGGAAUUACUGGGCGUAAAGGGCGCGUAGGCGGCCUGCUAAGUCGAACGUGAAAUCCCCGGGCUCAACCCGGGAACUGCGUCCGAUACUGGCAGGCUUGAAUCCGGGAGAGGGAUGCGGAAUUCCAGGUGUAGCGGUAAAAUGCGUAGAUAUCUGGAGGAACACCGGUGGCGAAGGCGGCAUCCUGGACCGGCAUUGACGCUGAGGCGCGAAAGCCAGGGGAGCAAACGGG